GGUAAUGCCGGAUGCUCCAGUUGACCGCAUGGUCCUCUGGGAAAGCUUCUGCGGUAUGGGAUGGGGUCGCGUCCUAUCAGCUUGAUGGCGGGGUAACGGCCCACCAUGGCUUCGACGGGUAGCCGGCCUGAGAGGGCGACCGGCCACAUUGGGACUGAGAUACGGCCCAGACUCCUACGGGAGGCAGCAGUGGGGAAUAUUGCACAAUGGGCGCAAGCCUGAUGCAGCGACGCCGCGUGCGGGAUGACGGCCUUCGGGUUGUAAACCGCUUUUGACUGGGAGCAAGCCCUUCGGGGUGAGUGUACCUUUCGAAUAAGCACCGGCUAACUACGUGCCAGCAGCCGCGGUAAUACGUAGGGUGCAAGCGUUAUCCGGAAUUAUUGGGCGUAAAGGGCUCGUAGGCGGUUCGUCGCGUCCGGUGUGAAAGUCCAUCGCUUAACGGUGGAUCCGCGCCGGGUACGGGCGGGCUUGAGUGCGGUAGGGGAGACUGGAAUUCCCGGUGUAACGGUGGAAUGUGUAGAUAUCGGGAAAGAACACCA
rnacentral:rRNA from 1 species